rnacentral:lncRNA from 1 species
AAUCAUAUUUAUAUUUAUAUAAUAAAUUGUACACAAUUUCUUUUUCUUAGCUUUCGGCCUAGAUGCUAUAUCUCCUGAGAAGCAUAUGUACAUAUUCUUGUGGUUGGUUGGCCAUGAAGUGUCAUCGUAUAGAGACUGUGCGGACCGCUUUGAUCUGUCAUUAAGUGCACUCUUUGAAAUCAUUACAAGAGUGGCUGAUUGUUUGGUCGAUAUUGCACCACAGUAUAUUUGCUGGCUUAAUGAAGAAGAAAGGGAAAUAACUAAAACAUAUUUUCAACAAAUAAUGGGUUUUCCAAAUGUAAUUGGGUGCAUUGAUGGAACUCACAUCCGCAUAGAUAGGCCAAAAGAAAGUACUGAAAGUUACUACAAUAGAAAAGAUUUCUUCUCAAUACAAAUGCAAAUAGUUUGUAAUCAUGAACGAAAAAUUAUAGAUGUUUUUAUCAGGUUCCCAGGUCUGUACACGAUGCAAGAAUUUUUAGAAACUCGCCACUGAUUGAAAAAUUACUUAAUCCAGAAUUAUAUGGAUGGCUUCUAGGAGACAGCGCAUACCAUGUCUUCCAACGUUAAUGACUCCCUACAAAGACAAUAGCCAUUUGACUGCUGCUGAAACUUUGUAUAAUGUCAAAUUAUCGUCAUGUCGUGUGCGAGUUGAACAUACUAUCGGCAUUUUGAAGCAACGUACAGAUGACCUUGAUUCGAUCUACUGCCUGCUGAUGGGACUCUCAGUAAUAUUGAAAUGAAUGCAAACAAAGAAGAUUACCAGAAUAAUAAUGAUUUACCUAGAUUGGUAUCAAGGAAUGAAUUGCGUGAUAAUUUAUGGAAAUAUUAACUUUUACGAAUAAAU